rnacentral:rRNA from 1 species
UAUACCGUAGCUUGCUACACCAUAGACUGUGAGUUGCGAACGGGUGAGUAACGCGUAGGUAACCUGCCUAUUAGAGGGGGAUAACUAUUGGAAACGAUAGCUAAUACCGCAUAACAGUAUGUAACACAUGUUAGAUGCUUGAAAGAUGCAAUUGCAUCGCUAGUAGAUGGACCUGCGUUGUAUUAGCUAGUAGGUAGGGUAAAGGCCUACCUAGGCAACGAUACAUAGCCGACCUGAGAGGGUGAUCGGCCACACUGGGACUGAGACACGGCCCAGACUCCUACGGGAGGCAGCAGUAGGGAAUCUUCGGCAAUGGGGGGAACCCUGACCGAGCAACGCCGCGUGAGUGGAGAAGGUUUUCGGAUCGUAAAGCUCUGUUGUUAAGGAAGAACGAGUGUGAGAAUGGAAAGUUCAUGCUGUGACGUACUAACCAAAAGGC